rnacentral:ncRNA from 1 species
CCAUAGGUGGUUCCGAGAGAUCGGGACUGAAAAGGGAAGCCGGUGUGAUACCGGCGCGGUCGCGCCACUGUAACUGGUGGAGUCCACCUCAAGGGAAAUCGUCACUGCCCCGAUAAGUCGGGAUGGGAAGGCGGGGGGUACGGACCAAAACCAGGAGCCAGGAGACCUGCCUAUGAAU